AGAGAGAGACAUGCGUGCAUAUCAAUAAGCGGAGGAAAAGAAACUAACAAGGAUUCCCCUAGUAACGGCGAGUGAAGCGGGAAGAGCUCAAAUUUGAAAUCUUAAAGGGUUUCCCUUUACGAAUUGUAGUUUAAAGAAGUGUUUUCUGUUGAGGUUUUGGUAAAAGUUCUUUGGAAUAGGACAUCAUAGAGGGUGAGAAUCCCGUAUUUGACCUUUACUUUCAACUUUGUGAUACACUUUCAAAGAGUCGGAUUGUUUGGGAAUGCAGUCCAAAAUGGGUGGUAAAUUUCAUCUAAAGCUAAAUAUUGGCGAGAGACCGAUAGCGAACAAGUACCGUGAGGGAAAGAUGAAAAGAACUUUGAAAAGAGAGUUAAACAGUACGUGAAAUUGUCAAAAGGGAAGCGUUUGACACCAGUGUUGUUUUUCUGAAAAUCGAUUAAAGAACUGUUUAUGCUAAGUUGUUUAGACUUUAUCAGCUAUCUGUUUAGUUUUGAGCUUUUCUUUAACGCACUUUUCAGUUAACAAGUCAACAUCAAUUUCUUUUGCUGUAAAAAAGCUUGAGGAUAGGGUGGCUUGAGAUUCGUCUUAAGUGUUUAUAGCCUCUUGCCUAUGCAGUCGGAGAGAUUGAGGUCUGCAGCGUAGAUCCUUCGGGGCUAAAUGCAUUUGUGCUAAGUUAUAGCAUUUUAUAGACAACUUGUUGACUAUGAUUUGUCUUGUAGCUUACUCGCUUAUGUUAUUUUACCUACGCUUAGGAUGUUGACGCAUGAGAUAUACGC
rnacentral:rRNA from 1 species